rnacentral:rRNA from 12 species
ACGGAACGGGCCCCUCCGACCCGUCUAGAAACACGGACCAAGGAGUCUGACACGUGUGCGAGUACCCGGGUGGCAAGCCCGCGUGCGGAAUGAAAGUGAAGGGCAUGCCCUGCCAACCGACCUUGACCUGCUGUGAGGGGUUUGAGUGGAGCACACCUGUCGGGACCCGAAAGAUGGUGAACUAUGCCUGGGUAGGGUGAAGCCAGAGGAAACUCUGGUGGAGGCUCGUAGCGAUACUGACGUGCAAAUCGUUCGUCGAAUCUGGGUAUAGGGGCGAAAGACUAAUCGAACCAUCUAGUAGCUGGUUCCCUCCGAAGUUUCCCACAGGAUAGCUUGAACGCAACGGUUUUGUCAGGUAAAGCGAAUGAUUAGAGGCCUGUGGGCUGAAACAGCUUGCACCUAUUCUCAAACUUUAAAUGGGCAAGAGGCCCGGGAUGCUUGAGUGAUCCCGGGCGGCGAACGGCGCGUUCAAAGUGGGCCAUUUUUGGUAAGCAGAACUGGCGAUGCGGGAUGAACCGAACGCCGCGCUAAGGUACCCAAGUGUCCGCUCAUCAGAUACCACAAAAGGCGUUGGUACCUCCAGACAGCAGGACGGUGGCCAUGGAAGUCGGAACCCGCUAAGGAGUGUGUAACAACUCACCUGCCGAAGGUACUAGCCCUGAAAAUGGAUGGCGCUCAAGCGGACCACCGAUGCGCGGCCGCCGGCGCGAGCGCGAGGCGCCGGCGAGUAGGAGGGCGC